UUAGGAAUCUUCCACAAUGGGGGCAACCCUGAUGGAGCAACACCGCGUGCUGGAUGAAGGCCUUCGGGUCGUAAACAGCUUUUGUAUACGAAGAAUAUGACGGUAAUAUACGAAUAAGGGUCGGCUAACUACGUGCCAGCAGCCGCGGUCAUACGUAGGACCCAAGCGUUAUCCGGAGUGACUGGGCGUAAAGAGUUGCGUAGGCGGCUUAUUAAGCGAGUAGUGAAAUCUGGUGGCUCAACCAUCAACC
rnacentral:rRNA from 1 species